UCCCAUAUGAUCUAGUGGUGAGGAUUCCUGGUUUUCACCCAGGUGGCUCUGGUUUGAUUCCUAGUAUGGGAA
rnacentral:tRNA from 1 species